rnacentral:lncRNA from 1 species
AAUAAUUUGAUGAACAACGCAGCAAAGCGCGCACAAUUGGCCAGUGCUACUGCUGGUAUUUUAGAUUGACAUAAAUAGGAGUAUACGUGGCUUACACAGGAGCCAAGCUCGCUUAGCAAACGGGCUGACGGUACCAUCUAGACCAAGCAAACAAAUCAAGCACCGGACGACCGCGGCUUCACAAGGUGGCGCAAACAUACGUUUAUUUAGUACCACAACCACAAACUUAUUUGGCACCGGCACAACCACGCAGACGAUGAUGUCCUUGAUGAUCCUACUAACAUCUUAAUAACAGUUACAAAUAACAUACGUUUAUUUUGUAUGUCAGAGACAAGAGUGAAGGCCUAGGCCUCCUCGACGCCGACUUCAACUCGUACCAUAUGGGGCCCGUGUUUCCGGACCAUGUGCCGAUCAGCAGAAGUUCGUACCAUUGCCGGGACCCAAACAAGCGCAUACAUGGUGAGAUCCCAAGCACGAACUACAUCGCCCUAACAAGCGCACACAUGGUGGUUGAAUAUUACUUACUUCACAUGAAUGGUUUUGAUUGCCUCUCUCGCGAGAUCUGGCGACUCCAUUGGCGAUUCUGAGUCUUCACCCACCUUCGCCCAUGAUCCCUCCGACGUUGAGCUGGAUCAUGAAGAUUGGGACGGAUCAGAAUCGCAGUGGAAAGUUCCUCAUCUCAAGAUGCGGCAGCGAAUCGAUGUCUCUCUGGAAGUUUCGGUAAAGGAGAAAGCAACCUCUGGAAAGGGGACUUGAGGGUUGCAGCACGAGGAAGGGUGAACGGAGGUGCCAUCCUCGCCGUCCACGUGUGGUUCGCCCCCACCGUCCGAUCAACCUUUGGAGGCGAGCGGUAGUGUUUUUUGGGGAGAUCCGGUGACUUCGGAGGCUUCACCUCUUGAUUCGCUUUUCCAGCAUCUGUGGACGCAGGAGCCGCCGCAGCGACAGUACCGAGGCAGGUGGCUUGUGGAUCAAAGGCGGGCGACUGCAAAUCUGAUCUCAGAUUGGCCACGGGUGGGGAGUGGUGGAGGUGAGUUCUCUCGGAUUUUCAGUUCUUCCUUCUCGCAAGUUGCAGCGGCGGCGAUGGCGCGGAGAUUCCUGGGUAGGGGUGAGCCUUUUGGGCGUGGAUACGGAGAUGGCCGAGGUCGUGGUUUGGGUGGAGGCUGGAUGGGCUGGCAGAACGGGCAGGGGAGAGGCUGGCAGGGUCCACCGUACUGGGAUUACUAGGGAGGGGAGGGCUUCUUCCCGCCGGGAGGGCCGGAGUAUCCACCGCUGCCUAAUCAGUUCCAGGGGCAGGCGCAAGGCCCUUACCAGAGUGGGAUGCCUCCUCGAGUUCAGUUCCAAGAACACAUGCAUCAGGGCAACUUCCAAUAGCAGCAAGCUAGCGGGCAGGGGGCACCGAAGCAACCUAGUGCUUCAGGGUCUGGUGAUACUGGUGGGGGAGCAAAAGCCAGUGACAGUGGGAAGUCUGCUAGUUCAGUUCAACAGAUUGGGCCUAGGAAAUUCAUCUGUCAGAAGUGUGAUGUGGAAGGGCACGUCAGCAAAGAUUGCAAGGUGGAAGUGGUUUGUGAGAACUGUGUGAAGGCCAGUCAUGCUACCAAAUAAGUGUGUAUGGCCUUUUCAGAUCAAGCCAGUGGCUAAGCUAGUGGCUAAGCUAGUUGGAUAUUCAGCUAAAGGUUCAGGCUCAGAAUGUUAAGAGGGGAGGAGGUGGAUCUGCUUUGAGUUCUCUGGCAAUUCUGGUGGUGGAAAAGGGGGAGUUAAUUGCUGAUCAAUCCUCUUUAGGUCUAGCAGAGACUUAUCCUUGGAAGUGGGAAUGGCAAGUGAAAGAUAUGGGCAAUGGGAGGAUGAUGGUUAAAUUCCCUUCAGCUGCUAAGGUGGAGGAAGCAAGAUGUUACCAAGCUUUUACCCUUCAAGGGACUAAUGCUUUUGUUUCUGUGAAAAGAUGGUCUUCUGAAGCCAUGGCUAAGGGCAAGCUCCAUACUGUUUGGGUGAGAGCAGGAGGUGUCCUUGAUGAACUUAGGCAUUACUUUGCCGCAAAAGUAUCUAUCUAUGAUUGGUGUGGUCAGUGAGGUGGAUAUGAGCAUUUUUCGAAAGCAUGAUAUUGUAAGGCUGAAGGUGGGUGUGAAGGAUGUUGAUCUUAUUCCCUCAGUGGCUGAGUUAAUAGCGGACUUGAUGUUAUUUGAUAUCUUCUUUGAUCUUGAGCAAGUGGUUGAAGUUGGUGGCUUGUUUGAAUCUAGUUUAACAAGGGGAGAGGAUAAAGAUGGUGAGGAGAAAGACAACAAGAACACUGGGGACAAAAAUUUGAAGAGGCACAAAAAUGGGGGUGGACUCACGGAAAAGAAUGGCAGUGGAGGUGCUGCAGGAAAUGUGGGACAGAGCUCAGGACAGGGGGGACAUCAAGGGGCUAUAGGUGGAGCUUCUGACCAGCUGUGUCUGUUUGGGGCAGAGAGGGAGGCCUUUGAGAGAUUAGUUCAGCUUGAGGUGGACAGUAAAUUGAAUGCUAUCUUGCAAAUAAGGGAGGAGGCUGCAAUGAGAGAGAAACUCUUAUUGGCUAAGUCGAAUCAGGUUCAGGUGCAGAGGAGAGGUGCUUUCACAGGCAGGUAGGCUGAGAUGGGGGCUAGUGAGACUGGGAAUAACUUUUCUGAAUUUCAUGGUGAUGGACAUGCUCUGCAGGGAGGCAGUCAAGAUGAUAAUGAUGUGGUCUCUGAGGAGAUGUCCUUUGCUACUAAAGUCUAGCGAGUGCAAGGUACCAAGUAGAUGCUUCAGGAACUUGACCCAAAAGAUGUGGAGGAUGUUUUGCUUGAUGGAUCAGAAGAAAUGCCUGGUGAGAUUGCUGAUGGGAAUAACACAGAGGUGAACUACAGGAGGAGUGCCAGGCUAUAGAAUCAAGGGUAAGCUGAUGCAAAGGUGGAAGACAGAGCCAUUCAUCAAGCAAAAGUGAAGAACCUGGAGAUUCCAAAAGGUAAUACUUCUGCUGCUACUGUUUUAUCCUCCACUUAUGCUGAUCUUGUGUUGACUGAGAAAUUAAAUGUUAGAUUAGGUAGCAAUGCUAACGAGCCUUAUCAGCCCUGAAGUAGUCGCUUAGGGCCUAAGGCCCUGUUAGGUUGGGUUUAAAACUGUUUUUUUUUCUUUUGGCUUAUAAGUCACAAAAACGCCUAUUUAGGUGUUUUUCCUAUUUAGAUGAUUUUGACUUGGUUUUUACUUAUACCAUCAUCUAAAAAUAUUAAGUAAGAUGUGAAAAGUCAAAGGUGAAAGCAUCCAAAUAGAUACUUUUGUGGCAGAAAAACCAAAAGUCAAAAAGCGGUUUUAAGCCUAACCAAACAAGGUCUAAGCGAUGCGUUUUCCGACCGAUGAGAACUUUUGCGCGCUUAAGUGAUGCUUUUUUGAACCAUGUUCAUGUUGUGAACUAAACUGUUAAAUUACUGCAUUUACAGAUGUACUCCAUCCGUUAAUUAUUGUCUUAGAUUACGGAACGGAGCCACGGAGGGAACUUGUCGUGGUGGUGUCACGGCAGAUGUCAUAGGAUGGCUUAUGUUGGGACCGAUGGAUGAAGGAGAAACCGUAGGAGGGAGGAGGUGAUGAGAAACACGCACAAACACACGAGCACACACAGAUUUUACCUAGGUUCGGAGCCCUCUUGUCGAGGUAAGACUCCUACUCCUGCUUUGUUGUAUAAGCCGAGACACCAAUAUCUACAAUGGCGCUCCUUGAGCAGUAUUCUUGAGGAAGAAGAAGAAAAGGAAGGGGAAAAUCCUAGAUGUCUAAGUGAUGGAUCCAUCUCCAGGGAUGGGUAGUGCUCCUAUUUAUGGACCGCCCAUGUCACACUGACAUGUUGGUCAAGGGCUAACGUUAUCUUCUAUGGGCCCUGCUGGGCACGCGUCUUGGUUCCCUCCAGGUGGCACCGCAGGGGACAAGACAACUUUACUUUUCAUGGCGUCCUGCAACAAGUACUGCUGCCACCUGCCGGCUUCUGUCACUGAUUUUCUUUCGGUGCUUCUUUGCGCAGUCGCCUGGCACCGCAACGUAAGCAGCGACUGCUUUCCCGUGAUAAAGAUAACGCUGUUUUACUAUGCGCCAUGCGAUGAGGAUAAGACCAUUGAGACAUCUUGGCACUGGCCGAGAUCAGAGUAUUCGUCCUUAUCCUGCAAUCACAUAAGACAAGAUAGAUUUGCCGGCAUACACUUAGUAUGCCGGCUUAGUAUUAGUUCGGCUUAAGGCUUCCAACGUACAUGCCUGUGCCGGCUUUGCCUUCGUCACCUCGGCUAAUGUGUGUCGUCCUGAUCCUACCCGGGGUCAUCCCCACGACAUAACUAUACCUGGGCAUGGGCAGCCCGGCCCGAAAAUCCCGAGCCGGGCUCGGGCCUUGAUUUUCAGCUCGACACAGUUUUCGGGCCGGGCUCGGGCUUUGAUUUGCAGCCCGAAAAAAACCCGGCCCGGCCCGGUAUGACACUAGACUCACUAGCGGAAAAGGCCCAGCCUCAGGAAGCCCAGCAAGCCACAGUGCCCGUUUCGUAUACAACCCAGUAAAUCUCCCGAACCGGUGAACCCUAGAUUCAAUCCCCCGUCCCUCCCGCUGAGAUCCCCUUCCCUGGCGGCGCAUCCAUGGCCCCCUUCCUCUCGUCCGAUGGCUCGGCGCCGCCACAGCCGGCCCCUUCCUCCUCCAUUCACGCGCCAACACCAACGCCAGCCUCCCAUCCCCUACUUCGACAGUGCUGCGCUGGCGGGCCUCCUGUACUGAAGCUUGAGGGCGACGUCUUCCCUACCGCAUCCGUGAUAUCUUGACGGUGUCUCCCGCCUCAGGUGCUGACUGCUGAAGAUUUGAAGCCAUACGACGAAGCCCGCAUCUGUGCUAUAAUAUAGUCUGUGCCAUCUCGCCGGUAGGAAACUGAGAUGUAUACCCAGAUCUGUACCUUCGUGUUCUCCUCCAUUGCAAAAUGUAUACUGUUGCUAGUCUGAGAUGUAUAUUGACGCUGGCAAAAAUCUGUGAUUACUUGAGUUCUCUUAGCCGAGAUCAAGUUAUUAUGACAUGUCGAGUCGGCGUGCUUAUUCAACCCUGAGCCGAGAUUCCUUUCUCCUCCAUGGCCGACAGUAGAAAACUCGCUUCUGCCGACACUGGUGCCACCUGUCACUUGUACUCUGUGCUCUGCUUAAGUAACUGGAAGAUAAGACCCAAAGUACUGCCGGCGCGCCUUUUGAGGCCAGCGUGUCGUCCCAUCGGACAGUAAAGCCGACAGACCAUUAAGAGAGGAAUAUCGGUUCCCACGCGGAUCCUUAUCCUGAAGGAUUUGACGGGAUUUACUGCGCCACGCCGCGCAGUAACCGAGCGCGUGCGCGUUAAUGGGGUUGAUUGCCCCCAUGAUCGUGCGCGGCCUUUCCGUUGGCCACAGGGAUCGUGGGCGCGGAAGAUCCGCGCCCCAUUAGUGCGCUGCGGGUAUAAAUAGAGGGAGGGGGCGAGGGUGAAAACCCUUCGCACUCCCCCAACCUUCUCGCUCUCCUCUGCUUUUCUCUGCUCCUCGCGCGCUCCGCCAUUGCUGCUAGCUCUGAGCUCUUCCGACGCCGUGCUUCCUAACUCUCAGCAACCGAGCUCGCCACCGCAUCUUCGCGCGCGCUAGCUCGGUUGUCCGCCGCCGCUUUUCUUGCCCGUUCAAGGCUUUCGCCACCGCCUCUUCGCUGUAAAACCUAACCCUAGAUCUAUUCUCCGAGCGAUGGCCUCUUCGUCCCGCGACUAUUCUGUACAAUUUUUGUAUCUGAUUUAGUAUCAUUUUUGUGCAUGAGUAUGACUAUUCUGUUGCAGGUUAUGUCAAUGGCCGGGCUUCGGGCCGGGCCUCGGGCUUUCGGGCUUUUGGUCGGGCCGGGUUCAGGCUUAAGUUUUAAGAAAAAAUCGGACUUGGGCACGGCUCGGGCUUUGUAUUUGAAGGUCGGGCUUUCACAAGCCCGGACCAAAACCCGGCUCGGCCCCAGACGGCUCAGGUACAGGAGUAACUGUGUCAGCGAGCUCGUUUACACCUCCUCCCUCUCUGCCGGUCUGCCUCGUCAGUAGUCGGCUACUGUACCCCCUCGGCCCCUCCCUCCCUCUGCCGAGCGACCCAGUCCCCUCGCUCCUGGAUCUUCUUCCUCUUCGGCCGAGCGCCGCCACCCAUCACGUUGCCGAGCGCCCAUCGUCUUCCUCCUCGCCCGAGCGCCUCCACCGCAAGUUGAUCUCCCCUUCGAUUCUCUCGCUCCCGACCGUUUCUCCUCCCAUCACACCACGAACGGAUUCCGCCCUUUAGCUCCCCGUUUCAUAAUCUUCCACAAUCCGUAACUGAGGCAAAAAUCAAGGUAGGGCAGCCGCCCUUGCCCUACUGGGUCCUCCGCCCAUGUGCCCGACCACUACAAGAACUGCAUUAACCUCGCGUUCUCUGUUCUUUCUUUGCUUCUUGGACCAGGAUCCGCUCCGCGCCUGACCCGAUUCACGCGAAGAUGGACGUCGGCGGCAGCGAUGGCGGGAGCAGCAUCAAGAAGUGGAACGUCAUCUACCCGGUGUACCUCAACUCCAAGAAGACUGUCGCCGAGGGCCGCCGUAUCGCCGCCGCCAAGGCUUGCGCCGACCCAACCUGCAGCGAGAUCUUGGACAGCUGCACCUACCUCAAGAUCCCUUGCAAGAUUGAGGUACCCAUAUUUGUCCCCUUCUUUUUGUUGAAAUUUUGCAGUUCGAGACCGCCAGUUCCCUUGGUUCUUCCUUAGAUUUUUCUAGGUGUUGUUGUUUGGACUGCUUAUGGUGUAUAUGCAGCAGGAUAAGGCGUAUCCGCGAGAUUUCUUCCAGAGGGGGAGGGUGAGGGUGCAGCUCCAAAAUGAAGACGGAUCCCCAGUCAAUCCUGCAAUUAGAACAAGUAUGUCCUAUAACUGCUGAUUGAUCCUGGAAGCUACCUUGACUUCCAUCUAUAUUCACCAUGCACUGCGAAUAGAGGUUACGAUUUUAUUAUGAAUUAUACCAUCCAUACUGUUUCAAGCUAUACCAAAUCCUAUUAGUGCAGUUACUAGAGCUGUCAGGAAUAAAUAUAUGAUAUGCCAAUUACGUGAUCGCUUCGAUGAAAUAUGGAUUCCACAAAAACCUAAUGAUGAUACUUGUCAUGGGCUAUUGUUAAAAUGCACCCGUUUAAUUUGUUAGAAGGAACUAAAUUUGGUCCCAUGCAAAUCUUGUCUCCUUUCCAAGGUUCCGCCAGAUCAGCGUUUUUGUGGUAAGUUGAGUUGUUGAAUAUCCAGAUAUUUGUGCACCAUAUGCUUGUCAAGAAAGAGAUGCAUGGUAGGAGGUGAAGUGUUACAUUUUCUGUUUGAUCCUCCCUUCAUUUAGCGAGCACAGUAUUGUGAAUACAGAUCAAGUUCUUAGUCAUCAUAAGUAGCAAAGGAUUAGUUCCUUAAUAAGGUAUGUACUGCUCCCUGACACUGACAGCUCACAUAGAUAUGGUUAUCUUGACUUGCUUGCAUAUGGUCUGUGGUGGUUUAUCCUAUUGGCUAUUGUAUGCAGAUAAUGAUGCUGUGAUAGUAUGAUUAAGCUAUGGAUGUUGUAUUCUGUAGUUUUGUACUCCCUCCGAUCCAUAAUAGGUGUCUCAGAUUUAGUACAAAAUUGUACUAUUUCAGGGAGUACAGUGCAAUGUCAUACUUCAGAACAAGUGUAGCACCCAAAAGAUUUCAUGUAUGCCAAUUUAAUUUUCAGAUUUGCCUGAUUAAUUAGUUCUGCUCCUAGUACACCCACCAAACGCAUGAUCAAUCUUUUCCCAAAAUAAAGAAUAUAAUUUCCCAGAAUCAGAAAUCUAUGUGGCCAAUUCAUCUCAACACCCUGAUGCUUAUUUCCAUUUGAUCCAAUUAACAAAUAACAACAUAUGACCAUAUGGAGAAAGUGAAUCGUGGAUAAAACGGGGCAUAGUAGGUGACAUAGGAGUAUGCAAGACAUUAUUUUGAACUGAAAUAGAUAACUAUAUCAUAUUGUAACAUAAUAGUGGUCGAACAAAGUUACUUACCGAUACAUACUACUGCACCGAUAGAGAACUGGAGAGUUCCAAAAGACUGACGUUCUCCCCAUCCAUGUAGUCUUAGUGUGUAGACGACAAGGCUCUGUAAUCUCAUAAACAACCAUGUGAAUAUUCAAUACACAAAGUUGAUGUUUGCACCCAGCUCUCAUGGCUUGAACCAUUAUGGUGCACGGACAUGAAAAAAAUUCGAAGGUUGUAGCUUGACCCCUUUUGAUGUGUACAUGAAUUCUUGUGAAGCCUUGUUCCACAUACCAUGUUCUUUACUCUCAUAGAGGAGCCAAUCAGUGGCGGAGAUCCGUCACCUCCUUUUAUUGUAUAAAAAACCCUCAUCCUUCUAUUGUCAAAAAAUAAAAAAUCCCCAUCCCCUUCUAAUGCGAUCAAUUAAAUCUACUGCAAAAGAUUGACAUGGUGAUGAUGUCUGUCACCAAAGUUAGAAUAAAAUUAGCCAGUGCCACUUAUAUAUAAUAGUGAUUUCUUAGUAGUCUAAUUUGUUUUAUCCAUAGCAACGCAUGGGUAUUUAGCUAGUUAAGUAAACAGAAGAUAUGUUUGGGGAAUGGAGAUAGAACAAAAUGGGUCAAGGUUGUGAUGGAAUACAUGAACCAGUUCCUUUUCUUCCUCAUUUACGCUCCAUAAAGUUGGUUGGAAAAACAAUAUAAUGGGUCCAUCAGAUCAUUCAACUCAAUUUUCCCUGUCCAACUGGACUUCUUUUUGCUGGUAAACGAGUCCUAGAGCACAACUGAAUAAAGCAAUGCAUAAAUAAUGGAUAAGAGACCAUGCUUGCAAAUGAUCUUAGGGAAGUGCUUGAUAUGACUCCAAAUCUGGCACCAGAUAAAGACUAGUAUAAGGAGAACUGCUGUAGUCCUGGAUCUUGUAUCAAAUGUUCCCUAUUUGCAUUAUUAAGAAAGCAAGUUUUCAUCUUCACAUUGAUUUUCAUUUGUCAAAAUUCAGAUAGAUACUAUAGGAGGUCCCAUGAUUGUUAGACAUGUUUGUCAUGAUUGUUUCGUUUCCAUUCAGCAGUGUGGUUUACUUUUAGGUCUGUCAUGAUGUAACUUAGAUGUAACAAUAUUGGCAACAUAGCUGGUAACUCAUGGCCCCAACUCAGAUUGCAAGGACAAUUUGUCACUUGGCAUGAUGAAUGGGUAACUUAUAUCAUUUAUCAUUAUGGGUAAAUAUCACCGGGAUAUGAUAAUGACAUUUUUGGUUGAUUUUUCUUAAUUCCAAAUAGAAUGUGACGAUCCAUUAUAUAGAUGCGACUCCUCCUAACGAAUGAACUAGUCUGUAUCAAAUCCGUACGAAUAGGCACCAGCUACUAACUUCCUAAGAAUAGCAUCCUUUGAGAACCUCCCCUCGUGCAUUACAGUGCGCACACAUACUUCUCCACCUGGAUGUUUUGUGGCAUCAAAAAUCUUGGGGACAAAUUGCACAUGUUGCCUCAUUUGGACCACGUAGUUCGUGUUGCGUCAUAUUAUUUCAUCAUGUUAUAGACAGUAGUAUAUUGAGUUCAGUAAUUUAGUCAUGAUCACUUAUCCUUGAUGCUGUAUGGCUAGGUUGAUUUAUGUUAGCUGCAACCCAGCACCAUUGUAAUGAUGUUGUUUAUCUGAAAAUUUGGUUCAAUUUUGCUCAGUAGAGUUAGAUGCAUGAUGAUUAUGAAUGUUGAGUUCCUUUCCUCCAAAUUAAGCUUGUUUUUCAAUUUUGCUCAGUAUAGAGUAGAUGCAUGAUGAUUAUGAAUGUUGAAAUGGCUCCUAGAAGCAUGUGCAUGCUUCUGUAACGAACAGCAAUUCAUAAAGUACUUCAAAUGUUCAGGUCUUCUAUGUGCUUCUAACUGCCCAUCAGAGAGAAGGCUUUUUUGGAGCCCGACAGAAAAUAAAUUCAAUAUUCUAAAAAUGCAAAAAUACAAAAAUGCAUAAUGUUGAGCACUAUUUUUUUUAAUCCUGGAUGUAAAACUAGUCCUAUUUCCAUGAACAUUUGUAUAUCUAGUUGUUUCAGAUUUUUUUUUGACAUUUGGAUUUUUUUUCCACUUUGGAGCACGUGCUCUGAUGCAACUUUGAAUUUCUCGAUCCACCUGUAUCAUGUUGCAUAUCUAGAUCUUCUGUGAUCUGUAACAUUUUUCCUGUGCCUCACUAUCGGUGUGCAUUACUAGGGGAAUAUUACUGUUCCUGUACUUUAGCAACAUAUAACUUUAAUGCUGAAGUUUCUGUUACUAGGGCAUAAUUCCUAGUUCUAAUCUUUGUGUUUUAUGGCUGGCAAUUCUUGAAAUCUUAGUGUAUAUUCUCUUGCAUGCCGUUGCACAUGUUUUGUCAAUCCCACUGACGCCGUUCCUUCUCGUCACAGAGAAGCAGUUGAUGAUCCAAAUAGCAGAGCUGGUACCCAAGCACCAAGGGAGAACUAAGAAGCAGGAAUCAUCGGCUAGUUCAUCAGCUGCCCCGACUUCCAAGUCAAAAGGCGGGAAGAAGAAGAAGUGAUGAAAGCAGCAUCUCGUGUUGUUUUUCUUCUUCUGUUUAUAGAUUUCCAUAGAAAAUUCCUUGAGGGAGUUCUGUCUCUCCUCUGAUGAAUUUUUCGGGGUUCUGAAUUCCUGAUCCAUUUGGACCGUCUUUCUGGUGGCCUUUUAGAGGUUACAAGCAGCCAAGCAAGAGCGACCUAGUGUUAGUUUGGGACUGUGGUAGUCAAAGUUUGCAGAUGCUUUCAGUUUAGUGUCACCUUGGCCUUGCAUGCAAAAUUGCAAAUCCAACAGUUGGAAACAUGAAAUGAUGUGCCUUGGCUGAAACACCUGCGCUACACUGGAGCGUGUUUUCUCUGAUUGGAAAGAAAAAAUCGUCAGGGCUCGUUUGCCUGUGCCAUUAUCGGUGGGGAGAGGAAAUGUUGGGAUUGCAGAUAAAAUCCUUCCUGUUUCCUCUCCAAUACCCUGUGGAUGGGUCUCUAGCUUUCAGCGUAAGAGCACCUCCAACGACUACUCAUAUUUUCGGUACACCAAACCAUUAUGGGCAGGGAGAGAAAAUUUAAGUAUCUAAAAUGUGUUCAGAUUUUUCAGCAUACCCAAAGCAGAUUAGCACCGCCACCGCUGCUAAGAUUUUUCCGAGCAGUGAUUUAUCACGCCGCUCUAUCUAAAAUUUUCUAUCCUGCUAUGGAAAUGAAUGUAGCUCUUUCUUCUAGCUCUUUGAAAAAUAAGAUUCAACUCAUCUUUAAAGAUCUUCCGGCAUUUGAAAAGAGAGAACCUGAUAUUAUUCAAGAUGUAGUUAUUACGAACGCGCCAGAUGCUCCAACAGACCAGACCAGGGCAGUGAUUUCCGUACUAAAUGGCUCAUGAAUCUGUUUACGCAAUUUCAUGGAUUAGAAAGUUAUAAUCACUUGUUGUACUAGAUCAAGUUUAAUAUGGAUUUUACUCUUCAAAUAAUUUGAUGAACGAUGCAGCAAAGCGCGCACAAUUGGCCAGUGCUACUGCUGGUAUUUUAGAUUGACAUAAAUAGGAGUAUACGUAGCUUACACAGGAUCAAGCACCGGACGACCGCAGCUUCACAAGACGGCGCAAACAUACGUUUAUUUAGUACCAAAACCACAAACUUAUUUGGCACCGGCACAGCCACGCAGACGAUGGUGUCCUUGAUGAUGCUACCGACAU